CGGGACGGGUGAGUAACGCGUGGGUGACCUACCCUGUACACACGGAUAACAUACCGAAAGGUAUGCUAAUACGGGAUAAUAUAUUUGAGAGGCAUCUCUUGAAUAUCAAAGGUGAGCCGGUACAGGAUGGACCCGCGUCUGAUUAGCUAGUUGGUAAGGUAACGGCUUACCAAGGCGACGAUCAGUAGCCGACCUGAGAGGAUGAUCGGCCACAUUGGAACUGAGACACGGUCCAA
rnacentral:rRNA from 1 species